AUUGAACGCUGGCGGAAUGCUUUACACAUGCACGUCGAACGGCAGCACGGACUUCGGUCUGGUGGCGAGUGGCGAGCGGGUGAGUAAUGUAACGGAAAGUGCCCAGCCGUGGGGGAUAACGUAGUGAAAACUACGCUAAUACCGAUUAAGCACUAUGGAUGAAAGCGGGGGAUCGAAAGACCUCGCUCGCUUGGAUUCGCCGAUAUCAGAUUAGGUAGUUGGUGGGGUAAAGGCCCACUAAGCCAACGAUCUGUAGUUGGGCUGAGAGGACGACCAGCCACACUGGAACUGAGACACGGUCCAGACUCCUACGGGAGGCAGCAGUGGGGAAUUGUGGACAAUGGGCGAAAGCCUGAUCCAGCCAUUCCGCGUGCAGGAGGAAGGCCCUCGGGUUGUAAACUGCUUUUGUACAGAACGAAAAGGUUUCUACUAAUACUAGGAGCUCAUGACGGUACUGUAAGAAUAAGCACCGGCUAACUACGUGCCAGCCGCCGCCGUAA
rnacentral:rRNA from 1 species